rnacentral:rRNA from 1 species
CACAUGCAAGUCGAGGGGCAGCAUGGUCGUUGCUUGCAAUGACCGAUGGCGACCGGCGCACGGGUGAGUAACGCGUAUCCAACCUUCCCCCUACCCGGGUAUAGCCCGCCGAAAGGCGGAUUAAUCCCCGAUACGUCCCCUGACGGCAUCAGACGGGGACGAAAGGUAUUCCGGUAAGGGAUGGGGAUGCGUCCGAUUAGCUUGUUGGCGGGGUAACGGCCCACCAAGGCAACGAUCGGUAGGGGUUCUGAGAGGAAGGUCCCCCACAUUGGAACUGAGACACGGUCCAAACUCCUACGGGAGGCAGCAGUGAGGAAUAUUGGUCAAUGGGCGGAAGCCUGAACCAGCCAAGUAGCGUGCAGGAUGACGGCCCUACGGGUUGUAAACUGCUUUUUUGCGGGAAUAAAGCGGCCCACGCGUGGGCCUUUGCAUGUACCGCACGAAUAAGGACCGGCUAAUUCCGUGCCAGCAGCCGCGGUAAUACGGAAGGUCCUGGCGUUAUCCGGAUUUAUUGGGUUUAAAGGGAGCGUAGGCCGCCUUUUAAGCGUGCUGUGAACUACCGUUGCCCAACAACGGGGCUGCAGCGCGAACUGGAGGGCUUGAGUUCACGGGAAGCCGGCGGAAUUCGUCGUGUAGCGGUGAAAUGCUUAGAUAUGACGAAGAACUCCGAUUGCGAAGGCAGCCGGCUGUAGUGUUACUGACGCUGAAGCUCGAAAGUGCGGGUGUCGAACAGGAUUAGAUACCCUGGUAGUCCGCACGGUAAACGAUGGACGCCCGCUGUGCGCCCUUUAGGGUGCGCGGCCUAGCGAAAGCGUUAAGCGUCCCACCUGGGGAGUACGCCGGCAACGGUGAAACUCAAAGGAAUUGACGGGGGCCCGCACAAGCGGAGGAACAUGUGGUUUAAUUCGAUGAUACGCGAGGGACCUUACCCGGGCUUGAACUGCAGAGGAAAGAUCCAGAGAUGGUGAUGCCCUUCGGGGCCUCUGCGGAGGUGCUGCAUGGUUGUCGUCAGCUCGUGCCGUGAGGUGUCGGCUUAAGUGCCAUAACGAGCGCAACCCCUUUCCCCAGUUGCCAUCGGGUAAUGCCGGGCACUC